GCCCUGCUAGCUCAAUCGGUAGAGCGUGAGACUUUUACAAGCCUCGGCAGUAAAACAUCAUCGCGUAAAAGAAUCGGUCACGUGAUCUCAAGGCUGCGGGUUCGAGCCCCGCGUGGGGCU
rnacentral:tRNA from 1 species